UACGGAGGGUGCAAGCGUUAAUCAGAAUUACUGGGCGUAAAGAGCGCGUAGGUGGUUUUUUAAGUCAGAUGUGAAAUCCCUAGGCUUAACCUAGGAACUGCAUUUGAAACUGGAAAACUAGAGUAUCGUAGAGGGAGGUAGAAUUCUAGGUGUAGCGGUGAAAUGCGUAGAUAUCUGGAGGAAUACCUGUGGCGAAAGCGGCCUCCUAAACGAAUACUGACACUGAGGUGCGAAAGCGUGGGGAGCAAACAGG
rnacentral:rRNA from 1 species